CUCUCUUCACCACCACAACAUCCGCGCCUGUACCAACACACACACACACACACACACACACACCGGGCUCACAGAUCACCACCACUGCUCUCUCAUUGGCCCGUGAUGGAUCUGCUGGAGGAGGACCUGACAUGCCCGAUAUGCUGUUGUCUUUUUGAAGACCCACGUGUGCUGCCGUGUUCACAUAGUUUCUGCAGGAAGUGUUUGGAAGGCAUCCUGGAGGAUAACCGAAGUCCAGUUUGGAGACCUGCGUUCAAAUGCCCGACGUGCCGAAAGGAGACCGCGCACAACGGCAUCUCGAGCCUGCAAGUUAACUAUUCCCUGCGCAGCAUCGUGGAGAAGUACAACAAGAUCCGUGCGAGCCCGAGAAUGUCUCAGUGUCGCGCUCACAGUGGACAACCCCUGAACAUCUUCUGUGCCACCGACCUGAAGCUCAUCUGCGGCUUUUGCGCCACUACAGGAGAGCACAAAGGGCACAAGUUCUGCGCGCUAGAAGAGGCAUAUGAGCGAGAAAAGGUCGCCUUCGAGGAUUUGCUUCGUGCCGUUGAGAGUUGGAAAGGCGCUGAAGUUCUCUCCUGUCUGGAAGCGCUCGAGGGGGCGAAGAAAAAAGCCCUGCAGAUGGCCUCGAGAGACCUGGAUCGGGUCGCGGAAUAUUUCGACAAGCUGCUCCGCGCCCUUGAACACAAGCGCAGCGAAAUCCUGUCGGACUUUGAAAGCCUAAAGUUGUCGGUCAUGCAAACAUUCGACCCGGAGAUCAACCAACUCCGCUCGGCGCUCGAGGAUCAGCAGCGGGCGCUGCGCCUCGCCGAGUCGUUUCGCUCCCUCUCCGACCCGCUUACCUUCUUGCAGUGCAUGCAGGACUUCCGCGAGAAAGUGCGCGCUAUUCGCGAGACGCCGCUGCCCGCGCGCACGGACGUGGACGUUUGCGCGCUCGUGCCAAGCUUCGACGUGCACGAGUGGGACCGUGUGCGUCUAGGAGACGUGGACGCGCUGCGCGCUCCGCACGAUGGGGGGGCUCUCCGGUCGCCGACGGCUCGCAUUGGCCCCCCGCGUCUCUCCCGAUUCGUGUGGAGUUGCGCCGUUCUGGUGUGCGCGUGCCUGUGCGUGCUGAACUUUCUCCCCGUGGACUGUUUCGCCGCGAGUCUCUGCGCUAAAGCGGUGUCCGCUCUUGCUGCUGUCUCCGUGCCCGCGCCUGCAGAAAUGCUGCGGUGGAUCUCGCUUUGCUGGCAGGAGGUGGCGGGAGUGUGCGCGCUCAUUACAGAGCUCUGCAGGAACUGCAUUACUGAGCUCAUCGACACCACGUCAGAGUUUAUCAGCUGAUUUCCAACCGGUGGACUUUUUCUCAGCUACCUUCUGAAUCUGAGGUGCACACAACAGAAUGUUAUUGAAAUACAGGCCUAAGUAUUUCACCUGCGUGCAUUAAUACAUUUAUAUUACUUGAUCACUGCUGAAGAAGCUGGGUGUGCGACUGCUGGAUGGACGGACGUUUGUAGCGCAUGAUGCACAGCAGAAAUUGGACAUUUAUCUCUGGAUCACCAUGGGAAACCAGUCCUGUAAUAUAUAGAGAAUGGAUCAACACUGCUGAGGACCAGUACGCCAGCAUAAUAACUUCAAUAACCAGCCAGGCCAGCUGUUUAACCAGCCACAAAGUGACCUUCAACUGCAACCCUUUAAUGUUUCUAUAGACUAAUCACUAUGGCAGCAAUGAUUCUUCCCCCCAACUUCUGCUAUCUAUUACUGAUAUAAGUGUAACAGUAUAGCUAGCCUGAAGUAACUGUUGCACCAGCCAAGUUCCAACACAGUCUCAUUAAAUUUGGUGGGAUAAAUACACUUGGCAAUGCUGAUGCACUCAAUCUAAAAGUAACAGAAAAGACAUAGCCAAAUUAAUUCGGUUGAAUAAAAUUGCAGCCCAUUUCAAAAAACAUGUGUUCUGACCAAGUGUGUGUGUAUGACUUCAGAGAGUGCAUGGUGGGUAAAACAGCUCAGCCCACUAAUCUAUGCUGCAUCAUGCAUUUAACUGCACAUUAACGGAAAAAUUGAGAAACAGAUGCAUCAAUCCAUUACCUUAUAAUAGCACAUUAGUGUGUCCAAAGUCUCACAGUUAAAACUGUGCAAAUGCUUCCAAGAAUGUUUCCUUGUUGGUUGCAUUACACAUGUUUUAAAUACAGUCAAGAUCAAACAAGCAGUUACACCAGCAAAGCAAUUAGUUUGGAAAAAUAUGGCUCACUAUAGUACUAUCCUAACUAAGCCAUAUUAUUCUAUGAAUUAUUUUAUAUAAAUUUCAACUUUAUUUUCAAAACAAACUUCUAUUAUUCAAUGGUUUAAGUUAAUUUCAAAAGACAUCAUGUACAUCAGAGCUGUCAUUUACUACAUAAAGAAACAAAACAAAAAAGAAAAUGACGUGUGUGCACACCCAGGUUUCUGAAUGUUUUCAGCCAUACACAGGUAAGUUUGGAAGCAGAUAAAGGGUGUAUGUGUCAGACACUAGGGUGCUCCACAUGAUGAUAACCUGACACCAGUAAAAAAGCAUGUGCUCAAAUUUAGGCUAUGCAGUCACAGCACAGUGCUGAAACCACAUUCUGUUAACAGUAUUUACAUUAAAUACAGAAACCACAGUACAGGAAACACUACAUUGCAAGG